AAAGCUAAAUAUUGGCGAGAGACCGAUAGCGAACAAGUACCGUGAGGGAAAGAUGAAAAGCACUUUGGAAAGAGAGUUAAACAGUACGUGAAAUUGUUAAAAGGGAAACGCUUGAAGUCAGUCAUGUCUGCUUGGACUCAACCUUACCUUUGGUUUGGUGUAUUUCCUUGCGGACGGGCCAGCGUCCAUGUGGUUUAUCGGAAAAGGGGUGAGAGAAUGUGGCUCCUUUGGGAGUGUUAUAGCUUUCACUCGUACGCGGGGAACGAUAUGGAGUGGUACAGCACGCUUCGGUGGUGUCUUGUGCUGGCAUAAUGGCUUUAAACGACCCGUCUUGAAACACGGACCAAGGAGUCUAACAUGUCUGCAAGUGUUUGGGUGGAAAACCCGAGCGCGUAAUGAAAGUGAUAGCUGGGAACCCCCUUUUGGGGA
rnacentral:rRNA from 1 species